GUGGGGAAUAUUGGACAAUGGGCGAAAGCCUGAUCCAGCAAUGCCGCGUGUGUGAAGAAGGUCUUCGGAUUGUAAAGCACUUUCGACGGGGACGAUGAUGACGGUACCCGUAGAAGAAGCCCCGGCUAACUUCGUGCUAG
rnacentral:rRNA from 1 species